GACGAACGCUGGCGGCGUGCUUAACACAUGCAAGUCGAACGGUGAAGCGCCUUCCUUUUUGGUGGGUGUGGAUGAGUGGCGAACGGGUGAGUAACACGUGAGUAACCUGCCCCCUUCUUCUGGAUAACCGCAUGAAAGUGUGGCUAAUACGGGAUAUUCUGGGUCUGUCGCAUGAUGGGUCUGGGAAAGAUAUUGUUUCGGUGGGGGAUGGGCUCGCGGCCUAUCAGCUUGUUGGUGGGGUGAUGGCCUACCAAGGCGGUGACGGGUAGCCGGCCUGAGAGGGUGGACGGUCACACGGGGACUGAGACACGGCCCAGACUCCGACGGGAGGCAGCAGGGGGGAAUAUUGCACAAUGGGCGCAAGCCUGAUGCAGCGACGCCGCGUGAGGGAUGGAGGCCUGCGGGUUGUGAACCUCUUUCGCCAGUGAAGCAGGCCUGCCUCGUUUGUGGGUGGGUUGACGGUAGCUGGAUAAGAAGCGCCGGCUAACUACGUG
rnacentral:rRNA from 1 species